rnacentral:rRNA from 1 species
AUGGCUGUCGUCAGCUCGUGCCGUGAGGUGUUAGGUUAAGUCCUACAACGAGCGCAACCCUUGUUGCUAGUUACAAGUUACUAGCGAGACUGCUGGCAUAUAACCAGAGGAAGUGGGGAUGACGUCAAGUCAGCAUGGCCUUUAUAUCCAGGGCUACACACACGCUACAAUGGCCGGUACAGAGGGCAGCGAAACCGCGAGGCGGAGCGAAUCUCACAAAGCCGGUCUCAGUUCAGAUUGCAGGCUGCAACCCGCCUGCAUGAAGUUGGAGUUGCUAGUAACCGCAGGUCAGCAAUACUGCGGUGAAUACGUUCCCGGGUCUU